rnacentral:rRNA from 1 species
UACGGAGGGGCUAGCGUUGUUCGGAAUUAUGCUAGGGCGUAAAGCGCGCGUUAGGCGGACCUGCAAGUCGGGGGUGAAAGCCCGAAGGCUCCAAACCUCGGAACUGCCUUCCGAUACGUGGCGGGUCUCGAGUCCGGGAGAGGGUGAGGUGGAACGUCGAGUGUAGAGGUGAAAUUCGUAGAUAUUCGCAAGAACACCGGUGGCGAAGGCGGCAUCCUGGGCCGGUAUUGACGCUGAGGAGCGAAAGCCAGGGGAGGCAAACGGG